CUACGGGGCGCAGCAGUAGGGAAUCUUAGACAAUGGGGGAAACCCUGAUCUAGCCAUGCCGCGUGAGUGAUGAAGGCCUUAGGGUUGUAAAGCUCUUUCGCUGGGGAAGAUAAUGACGGUACCCAGUAAAGAAACCCCGGCUAACUCCGUGCCAGCAGCCGCGGUAAUACGGAGGGGGUUAGCGUUGUUCGGAAUUACUGGGCGUAAAGCGCGCGUAGGCGGGCGAUUAAGUCAGGGGUGAAAUCCCGGGGCGCAACCCCGGAACUGCCUUUGAUACUGGUAGUCUUGAGUUCGAGAGAGGUGAGUGGAAUUCCGAGUGUAGAGGUGAAAUUCGUAGAUAUUCGGAGGAACAUCAGUGGCGAAGGCGACUCACUGGCUCGAUACUGACGCUGAGGUGCGAAAGUGUGGGGAGCAAACAGGAUUAGAUACCCGUGUAGUC
rnacentral:rRNA from 1 species